CAAAUACUCCCUCCGUCCGGAAAUACUUGUCAUCAAAAUGGAUAAAAGGAAAUGUAUCUAGACGUAUUAUAGUUUUGGAUACAUCUCUUUUUAUCCAUUUUGAUGACAAGUAUUUUCGGACGGAGGGAGUAGAAA
rfam:Triticum aestivum genome assembly, contig: Triticum_aestivum_CS42_TGACv1_scaffold_168114_2DL